AAGCAUGUGCGUAGACCUGGACAGACGAAAGAGCAGACACUAGGAAACGGCCACGUUACUUCUGUUGGGGAUAUUCGGGGUGGAGAAGAGCCACUGUGGGUGAGAGGAAGGGAUGAAGCAAGGGAACCGAAGGCCCAUGGGACGUGACCAACUCAGCAUUCCACUGGAGGCUGUAUGAUCAAACAGCAAUCUGUUUAUCAUGAAUGCAGGAUUUGAGCAAACUCAUGACUGCUCCUGCCAACAGAAGGUUUGCUGGAGGCAAUCACUGCCUGGCGCCGAGGAUAUCUACUGCGACAUCUAGAGAAUACAGUCUUGCAAGCCUACUCUGGACUGAGCAGCUGACCCCUUCUUUCACCACCCCCACCUUCUCACUGUCUCUUUUGCCUAAUAAAUACGGAGGGCUGUGUAAAGCUCAGAGCCCUUGUCCACUAGAGGAAGGUGCCCCCGACCUCUUCUUCCAAAUAUACUCUUUUGUCUCUUGUCUUUAUUCACGUGUUCACCCCGCUUUGUUCAGUCCAACAGGUUCGCGGCAUAGUGGCACCCCAAACAGCGACAGGAUCGGGUGUUCUACAAAUAUUCACCAAAAUUCAUGCAUAAAAAUCUUCACUGACUUAAUUAUAAUAUUAAAAACAACAGAAACAUGACGCUGCACUAAAGAAGGCAGACAAAUGAUUUUAUGCCAUAGGAUUCCAUUUCUAUACAUUUUAAACAGAUAAAACUAAGUUGUGCUUUUGAGGUAGCAUAGUGAUUAUUUUGGAAGAGGUAUUGAUGGGAAGGAAUGUUUCUGGGAGGUAGAUGAUUUUUUAUUCCUUGAUUUGAAUUUUGGGUACACAAAUGUGUUCAGUGUAUAAAAUCCAUUGAACUUUAUAUUUAUGGUUUGUGUACUUUCCUUUGUUAUGUAAAUCUUCACUAUAAUUUCAAUUAAUCAAAAUAUCGCUAACAUGAAAGUAAAAUGUAUUUUGGAGUCAUGUAGAUUUAGGUCCAAAUGCAUCUCUGGUAUUUAAGCAACUUUUGAAUUUCAGGUGGGAAAGUAGAACUGGAACAUCCACGUUAUAAUUUUUUUUUAAGAUUAAAACCAGUGAAUAGACCCUUUAUAGCAAAAAAAUAGAUAUUUAGAUAAAGCUAUUAUGUUUUUGUUUGUUCAUUUUUAUUUAAAAGUUCAAAUGCAUAGCAAACACAACUGGAAAUCAAAUCUAUGUUCGAUUCUAAAGCCAUGGUUUUUCUUUAAAUCUUGCUGCAUCUCUCCUGAUGUGAUUCUUCUCUUAAGGAACAAUUACGUCUUACAGCAAUGAGGAAAAAUUAUUACAGAAUGUUAUAUUAUGAAGCAUGAUUAGAAAAAAUUCAACUCUUAAUAAUCACUUAUAGCCUAAAUCUUUCUUAAAAAAUUCAGAAUGAAGGAGAAAAUAUUUCAAGUUUUGAUUUGCCUGAACUCUUAAUGGCCUCAAAACAACUAGUCAUGCUGGUACCAGAUGUUCUUAAGAGCAAUUUUGACUUAGCAGAUGAUAUUUAUUUCAUGAAACUUCAGGAUCUGAUGACUUGCAACUUAACUAAGGAGAAGAAAAAAUCAAGAGGGACAGAGAGAGAAACAGAUAAUGUUCUUCAUAGAUCUCUUUCUAACUGUGUCAUCCUGUCAUUGAACUCCCAGGUAAUGCUGGAUUAACAGCUUGUAUAUUUCUCUGCCUUCAGACAGAACAAAAAGAUAUCCAUUUUUUUAGGGUACUCUUUCUUAUAUGUGGAAAAUGCCAUAAUUUCUUGUUUGACUCACCAUGUCUCUUGCAGGUGGCUUUUGAAUCACCCCAACUUCUUUACCAGCUGAUUCAUUGAAAUCAAAUAAAAAUGUGGGGUUCAUUUAAGUGAGGAUACAGAUUAUUUGCCUCUCCUCAUUCUACAAAAGUAUAACUAAACUCCCUUGGCAUUUCUUGGAUGAGUUUAGACACAGAAAUUUGACUUUAUGGCAAUGUUAGAAGUCAGGGCAGGAGACAAGCUUGGAGCCAGACAUGAGAUCUGCCUACUAGUUCUGAAGGAAUAAAUGCAGAUGUUGACAUUGAUUAGGCAAAAUAGUACACUGAGGAUGAGAAUUUUUCAUACAUGAUUCAUUACAAUGCCUAGCACCAGGAAGGCUAAAAUGAGGUAUCAGAAUUACAAUCAGGGGCAAAAUUUCUGUGUUGGGCAAUAAAUGACUAUUCUGUUAUGAAAGUGAGCAUUUGACAUUUAAGAUGUGUAUCCAUAAGAAACAGAGACCCAGUCUCUUACUUUGUGAUUCCACUCAAUGCAGAAUUUCUCUUAAAGUGAUGCCUUAAGAUCAUGGGAAAGAUCAAAAUUAAUGAACAACAAAAAAAGUACAAGCAGAGUUAAACGAGUAUCAACAACUGUGGAAAAACAGGUGUGUACAAGAGGUCUUUGUGGCAUUGAACCCAGGUCUAAUAAUCAGCACAGGAAUAUUGGAGAAAUAAAGAUCUUUUUUUUUUUUUUUGUGAUGGAGUCUCGCUCUGUCACCCAGGCUGGAGUGCAGUGGUGCGAUUUCGGCUCGCUGCAACCUCCACCUCCUGAGUUUAAGCAAUUCUCCUGCCUCAGCCUCCUGAGUAGCUGGGAUUACAGGCACGCCACAACGCUCGGCUAAGUUUUUGUAUUUUUAGUAGAGAGGGGGAUUCACCAUGUUGGCUAGGCUGGUCUUGAAUUCCUGACUUCAAAUGAUCCACCCGCCUGGGCCUCCCAAACUGCUGGGAUCACAGGCGUGAGCAACUGCGUCUAGCCAGGCUCUUCGUAGAAUAGUGCUUGGAGUAAGAAUAUUCUAAGCAACAACAAAUGAGGCUGGGCCUUUGCAACAGCAAGUUAGCAUGCUUGAAAACUGUUUCGUUGUUGUUGUUUUCUGGAAACAUAGGCAGGGCUGCUUCUCAGGAAAGCUCAGAUAUUUGGAGUCUAGGGCAAUAGGCAUAUGAGGUUCAGUUCACAUGUGUCUAAAAUA
rnacentral:lncRNA from 1 species